rnacentral:rRNA from 1 species
UACGUAGGGGGCAAGCGUUGUCCGGAUUUAUUGGGCGUAAAGAGCGUGUAGGCGGCCAUACAGGUCCGUUGUGAAAACUGGAGGCUUAACCUCCAGACGUCGAUGGAAACCGUAUGGCUAGAGUCCGGAAGAGGAGAGUGGAAUUCCUGGUGUAGCGGUGAAAUGCGCAGAUAUCAGGAGGAACACCUAUGGCGAAGGCAGCUCGCUGGGACGGUACUGACGCUGAGACGCGAAAGCGUGGGGAGCAAACAGG